rnacentral:lncRNA from 1 species
CUGGGUGUAGUCAAGUACUUGACUUGUCCGUGCGUGUGUCAAGAUGGGAUUAGCCACUCCAGUUUAGGUACUGUGUAUAGUUGUGUUUCAAUUUAACAAAACCUUGGCUAGGGUAGUCCUAGUGAGGAGUCACAGGACUAAUUGAGUUGAGCAUGAUUCGGAUGAUCUCAUCAGGGUUGACAGUUUAACUCUGAGUCAUCC